rfam:Danio rerio chromosome 8, GRCz11 reference primary assembly.
AGCCACAGCCAUAUCACCCUGCAGCCCAAGACUGGUUACUCACUGAAGCUAAGCAGGGCUGAGCCUGGUCAGUACCUGGAUGGGAGACCACUAGGGAACACUAGGUUGCUGUUGGAA